rnacentral:rRNA from 1 species
CCCCUAGAUGUUCUGGGCCGCACGCGCGCUACACUGAACAGUUCAACAAGUCUUAACCUUGGCCGAUAGGUCUGGGUAAUCUUUGAACGCUGUUCGUGAUUGGGAUAGACCUUUGCAAUUAUGGGUCUUCAACGAGGAAUUCCUAGUAAACGCAAGUCAUCAGCUUGCAUUGAUUACGUCCCUGCCCUUUGCACACACCGCCCGUCGCACCUACCGAUUGAAUGGUCCGGUGAAAUCUCGGGACGGCGGCUUGGUCGCUUGCGUCCGACUGCUGAAACUUGAUUAAACCAUAUCAUUUAGAGGAAGGUGAAGUCGUANCA